rnacentral:lncRNA from 1 species
CUGGAACAGAAGGCAGGCAGGGACACACAGAACAUCUUUUGGCGAGCUUGAAGAAUUUUUGGAUGGGAGCCAGUUCUGCUUCCCCAGCCGAGCUUCUGCUACUUGCUGGGGAACAUUCUGCUUCAGGAGACCAGGGAUUCCUGUAGGACGGACCCCUGAAGUCUGCCUACAUUAGAAUCAUCUGCAUUGCUGGUUGAAAUGCAGACCCCCAGGCCCCAACCUAUGGAAACAGAAUUUCUCAAGAAACCCCACAGCAACCUUCCUACAUUCCAGAUCUGUGCCAUAGCUGGAAGAAACCGAACUGAGACCCAACUGCAAAGAAGCUCGCAGACUAGUCAGCCAAGAGGACGGAAACAGAGACCGAUGUAA